UAGGGGAUCUUCCACAAUGGGCGAAAGCCUGAUGGAGCAACGCCGCGUGUGUGAUGAAGGCUUUCGGGUCGUAAAGCACUGUUGUAUGGGAAGAACAGCUAGAAUAGGAAAUGAUUUUAGUUUGACGGUACCAUACCAGAAAGGGACGGCUAAAUACGUGCCAG
rnacentral:rRNA from 1 species